rnacentral:tmRNA from 1 species
GGGGGUGUAAAGGUUUCGACGGGGGUACUGAAGCAAGAGAAGCGAGCCGUAGUUUGCCAAGUCUACGUUAAAAAUGGCACGUUAAAUAUAAACGCUAAAAAUAAUAACAACACAUUCGCACUGGCUGCAUAGUUCAGCCCCGCGCAUCGACCCUGAUUUACCUGUAGGUCAGGAUGUUCGGUGUCAAACAUACAGGAAAACGAUUCGUGAAUGCCCGGCAGCGAAUCGGAACAACGGGAUAGCGGAGGACUGAGCCUGCCGACGGGCGCCUUCCAAAGCGAAAUUGAAAUCAUCGGCUGCGCUCGGAGAUGCUCUUAGUGAAUGUGCUUUCGGACAGGGGUUCGACUCCCCUCACCUUCACCA